GGCGGGACACGUGGUAUCCUGUCUGAAUAUGGGGGGACCAUCCUCCAAGGCUAAAUACUCCUGACUGACCGAUAGUGAACCAGUACCGUGAGGGAAAGGCGAAAAGAACCCCGGCGAGGGGAGUGAAAAAGAACCUGAAACCGUGUACGUACAAGCAGUGGGAGCCCCACCACUAAGCCAGUGGUGAACUCCACAUACGCAUCCUUUGCUGAGGAUGCGGUUAACGGAGCGAAAGCGACGUUCAACCGCAAAAGAAGCAGAGGGGGCUUAGUGGUGGGGUGACUGCGUACCUUUUGUAUAAUGGGUCAGCGACUUAUAUUCUGUAGCAAGGUUAACCGAAUAGGGGAGCCGGAGGGAAACCGAGUCUUAAU
rnacentral:rRNA from 1 species